rnacentral:rRNA from 1 species
CCUACGGGAGGCAGCAGUAGGGAAUAUUGCUCAAUGGGGGAAACCCUGAAGCAGCAACGCCGCGUGGAGGAUGAAGGUUUUCGGAUUGUAAACUCCUUUUGUUAGAGAAGAUAAUGACGGUAUCUAACGAAUAAGCACCGGCUAACUCCGUGCCAGCAGCCGCGGUAAUACGGAGGGUGCAAGCGUUACUCGGAAUCUCUGGGCGGAAAGAGCGCGUAGGCGGGAUAGCAAGUCAGAUGUGAAAUCCUAUGGCUUAACCAUAGAACUGCAUUUGAAACUGUUAUUCUAGAGUAUGGGAGAGGUAGGUGGAAUGCUUGGUGUAGGGGUAAAAUCCGUAGAGAUCAAGAGGAAUACUCAUUGCGAAGGCGACCUGCUAGAACAUAACUGACGCUGAUGCGCGAAAGCGUGGGGAGCAAACAGGAUUAGAUACCCGGGUAGUC